CCUACGGGAGGCAGCAGUAGGGAAUUUUCCACAAUGGGCGAAAGCCUGAUGGAGCAAUACCGCGUGCAGGAUGAAGGCCUUCGGGUCGUAAACUGCUUUUAUGUGCGAAGAAUUUGACGGUAACACAUGAAUAAGGAUCGGCUAACUACGUGCCAGCAGCCGCGGUCAUACGUAGGAUCCAAGCGUUAUCCGGAAUUACUGGGCGUAAAGAGUUGCGUAGGUGGCAUUAUAAGUGGAGCGUGAAAGCGUGCGGCUCAACCGCAUUAUUGCGUUCCAAACUGUGAAGCUUGAGUAUGGGAGAGGUAGAUGGAAUUUCUAGUGUAGGAGUGAAAUCCGUAGAUAUUAGAAGGAACACCGAUGGCGUAGGCAGUCUACUGGCCCAUUACUGACACUAAGGCACGAAAGCGUGGGGAGCAAACGGGAUUAGAUACCCCGGUAGUCCACGCUGUAAACUAUGGAUGCUAGCUGUGACACACAUCGACCUGUGUCGUAGCGAAGUUAACGCGUUAAGCAUCCCCGCCUGGGGAAUACGGUCGCAAGAUUAAAACUAAAUGAAUUGACGGCNGAGAGNGCGAGACGACGACGAGGAGAG
rnacentral:rRNA from 1 species